CCUCUAAACCAUAAUGAUAUCAUAACUUAUAUUCUUGCAGGUCUCAACCAUGAAUAUGAUAGUUUUGUGGCCUCAAUUUCAGCACGAAUCAACAACAUCACUCUUGAAGCAAUUUACUCUCUUUUGCUGACAUUUGUAGC
rnacentral:snoRNA from 1 species